AAUUUCCGAUAACGACACGUCAUAUCCGGACGGUCCUGAGAUGCCGGUAAGAAAGGAUUGUCCCGGGAAAAAGCGAGAGUUUAGGCUCCCUCCCUCCCGUCUUUCCCGGGCCGGAGAGAAAGGACGAAAGAAUAGCCACGGUGAAGGAUCUCACGGCAGCGCACCCGUUUCCCGCCUUUUCUUUUGGGGUAUCCAGCCUUAGGAAAAGCCGCUUCUCCGCUGGUCUUCGUGUUGUGGUAGAGGCCUCACCGGCUUUGGCCUUGUCAUAAGAGAGCAGACGCGACGAAGGUCAUCCUCUCGCCUCCCAGCGCCCGCCGAGUUCAUCUUGACCGUUAUAUUGAAUUUCUCUGUUAUCUUCUCUGUUAAGAUGACCCUCAUAAGCUUGUGAGGCUGGAAUAUGUGUAUAAACACAAAUAACCGUUCAUGUUGAUCUCCUAAACGUAUGCCUUACCUAGAUCUACUUUGGGAGUUGGAAACUUGAAUCGAUGUUAUCAGAUGAGUUAGAGUCUAAACCAGAGUUGCUGGUUCAGUUUGUUCAGAACACAUCCAUCCCACUAGGACAGGGACUUGUGGAAUCAGAACCUAAAAAUAUUACCUGUCUAUCUCUUCUUCCCGUUACAGAAUCCCCACAAUGCAACAGGUUGAUAUUGCCAGAUGAUUCCCCAAACCAUAUUCACUCUUCCAAGCAUGCUUCUUCAUCGGCUGUUCUGCGAAGUCUCCAAGUAAAUGUUGGCCCUGAUGGUGAGGAGACAAGGGCACAAACAGUACAGAAACCACCUGACCUUCUUCCAAGUCCUGAUACUUCUGCCUUAUUGCAAGAUCUUCAGCCUGGUGAUAAUACUUCCUUUAUUCUCCUCAAUUUAACACGGACAGGUCUAGGGUCUUCUUCAGAACACCUGGUAUUUGUCCAGGAUGGAGCAGUGGAUUCUGGGAACAAUUUCUUUGCGAAUAAUAGUACAGAUAGCAGUACUCCAUGGUUUUUACGAGUGCAGGAACUGGCUCAUGAUAGUUUGAUUGCUGCCACUCGAGCACAGCUCGCUAAGAAUGCCAAAGCAAACAAUAAUGGUGAAAAUGUCCAUGUUUGUUCAGGAGAAUCACAGCCAAAGGAAUCCAGCCCCAUUCCUCACCUACCCCGGGUAGAAAAAAAAUUGCAGUGCACUGUUGAAGGCUGUGAUCGAACAUUUGUAUGGCCAACUCACUUCAAAUAUCAUCUAAAAACCCACAGGAAUGAUCGCUCCUACACAUGUCCAGCAAAAGAUUGUGGGAAAAGUUUUUAUGUCUUACAAAGAUUGAAGGUGCACAUGAGAACACAUAACGGGGAGAAACCAUUUAUUUGCUCUGAACUAGGCUGUGGAAAGCAAUUCACAACAGCUGGGAAUCUGAAGAAUCAUCUGCGAAUUCACACUGGGGAAAAGCCUUUUUUAUGCGAGGCCCAGGGCUGUGGUCGUUCCUUUGCUGAAUAUUCCAGCCUUCGAAAACACCUAGUUGUUCAUUCGGGAGUAAAGCCACAUCAAUGUCAAAUUUGUGGGAAGACAUUUUCUCAGAGUGGUAGUAGAAAUGUACACAUGAAGAAACAUCAUUCGAGGGUUGAAACAACUAGCAAUAGGCAGCAUGAGCAAACAGAAUCACUGAUGGGCAGCAGUUUGUUGGAAGAAUCUGAAUUAGACAGUAAGAGCCUGGUGUCAAUGAACUCUCCAUCUAGCCUUGUUGAAUCUUUGCAUUUGCCAGAUCCGGAAUCAAUCAUUGGUGUAAAAGAAGAGGUUCUAGCUGAAGCAGCAGUAAAUUCUCUCCAUGAUGUUUCUGAUGUGGUUUUGCCAUCUCAUCAUCUGAUGCCCAUGUCAACAUCAAGGCACUCUUACGGCGUGUCAUCCUUACUACAAUAAAUUCCUAGGUCUGAAGGUUUCUGUUUUAAAAAACGUAGUGCUAGCCUCUUUAAUUUCAGAAAACAUUUGCUCCUUCUAUAAUUGAAGUUACAGAAGAACAGCAAAUCUGUGACAUUGAAUAUAUGAUACUGUAUGAAGCUAAAGAAGAGGCUUUUCUGAUGCUCAAGUUGUUUGACAUUUAAAUUCCUGGAAUUUGUGCAGUGUCUCCAGUGUACUUCCUAUGACAUGGUGGAGCAGAGGCCUGGACUAUGGUUUUGCUUCAGUUAGUUUAAAAAAACAAAAAAACUUUGUUUUCUAAGGGAGGAUGGAACAGCUGCUAUUAAUUAUGGAGUUAAUAUUUAACCUGGUGUCCAAAGCCAUGAGAUAAAGUUCUUGUACCUAGUUUAAAGCCAGAUUUUUUUUUCUUUUUUGAAGUGACCAUAAGCUCAACAUUAUUUUGGCUUGUUCUUGGAGAAAUAUCUUUUAGCUAGUAAUAAAUUCUGCACCAAGAUGUUGCAGCUCUGGUUUUGCUUCUUAUUUAUAGGGGCAAUUGGUGGUACUCUUUCAUUGGAAUUUUUGCAUUCCCGUGCUUUGUGUGGAUAUGUUCACUAACAUUGCUUUUGGUCCAAACUGAAGAUCUCAUACUAUUCAGAGGAUUGCUUAGGUCACACUUGCUUCUUGCUGUGAUAUUUUAAUUUCUAAUUAUUAGGUUUAAUAGAUUUUUCAUUUUAAAAAAAUCAAAGAUAGAAAUUAUUCAGUAGCAUUCUGUUGUAAAUAAACUACAGAUUUCCAUUCUCGA